rnacentral:rRNA from 1 species
UGCGCGGAAGAUGUAACGGGGCUAAACCAUGCACCGAAGCUGCGGCAGCGACACUAUGUGUUGUUGGGUAGGGGAGCGUUCUGUAAGCCUGCGAAGGUGUGCUGUGAGGCAUGCUGGAGGUAUCAGAAGUGCGAAUGCUGACAUAAGUAACGAUAAAGCGGGUGAAAAGCCCGCUCGCCGGAAGACCAAGGGUUCCUGUCCAACGUUAAUCGGGGCAGGGUGAGUCGACCCCUAAGGCGAGGCCGAAAGGCGUAGUCGAUGGGAAACAGGUUAAUAUUCCUGUACUUGGUGUUACUGCGAAGGGGGGACGGAGAAGGCUAUGUUAGCCGGGCGACGGUUGUCCCGGUUUAAGCAUGUAGGCUGAUUGUCCAGGCAAAUCCGGAUAAUCAAGGCUGAGGUGUGAUGACGAGGCACUACGGUGCUGAAGUAACAAAUGCCCUGCUUCCAGGAAAAGCCUCUAAGCAUCAGGUAACAU